rnacentral:rRNA from 1 species
GUCUACGGCCAUGCCACCCUGAACAAGCCCGAUUCCAUCUGAUCUUGGAAGCUGAGCAGGGUCGGGCCUGUUCAGUACUUGGAUGGGAGAUCAUCUAGGAAGACCAGGUGCUGUAGGUA